AUUGAACGCUGGCGGAAUGCUUUACACAUGCAAGUCGAACGGCAGCACGGACUUCGGUCUGGUGGCGAGUGGCGAACGGGUGAGUAAUGUAUCGGAACGUGCCCAGUCGUGGGGGAUAACGUAGUGAAAAUUACGCUAAUACCCAUACGAUCUAUGGAUGAAAGCGGGGGAUCGCAAGACCUCGCGCGAUUGGAGCGGCCGAUAUCAGAUUAGGUAGUUGGUGGGGCAAAGGCCCACCAAGCCAACGAUCUGUAGCUGGACUGAGAGGACGACCAGGCACACUGGAACUGAGACACGGUCAAGACUCCUACGGGAGGCAACAGUGGGGAAUUUUGGACAAUGGGCGAAAGCCUGAUUCAGCCAUUCCGCGUGCAGGAUGAAGGCCCUCGGGUUGUAAACUGCUUUUGUACAGAACGAAAAGGUUUCUACUAAUACUGGGAGCUCAUGACGGUACUGUAAGAAUAAGCACCGGCUAACUACGUGCCAGCAGCCGCCGUAA
rnacentral:rRNA from 1 species